rnacentral:rRNA from 1 species
AGUCGAACGAGGUGGCCCACAGAAUUUGAUAGAAACUUUGAGAGCUUGCUCGAGAAGUGGAAAGAGAAGGACGUGGAAUUUCCACCUAGUGGCAAACGGGUGAGUAACACGUGGGUUACCUACCUCUUAGAUGGGGAUACCAAUUGGAAACGAUUGUUAAUACCGAAUGUGAUCUACGGAUUAAAGGAAGCCUUUAAAGCUUCGCUAAGAGAUGGGCCUGCGGUGCAUUAGAUAGUUGGUGGGGUAAGAGCCUACCAAGUCAACGAUGCAUAGCUGAACUGAGAGGUUGAUCGGCCACACUGGGACUGAGACACGGCCCAGACUCCUACGGGAGACAGCAGUUAGGAAUAUUCGUCAAUGGGGGAAACCCUGAACGAGCAAUGCCGCGUGAACGAUGACGGUCCUCUGGAUUGUAAAGUUCUGUUGUUUGGGAAGAACGGCUCUAAUAGGAAAUGAUUAGAGAUUGACUGUACCAUUCAAGAAAGCCACGGCUAACUACGUGCCAGCAGCCGCGGUAAUACGUAGGUGGCGAGCGUUAUCCGGAUUUAUUGGGCGUAAAGCGUCCGCAGCCGGUUUAUUAAGUAUAGAAUAAAACUUCGGGGCUCAACCCCGUCUCGUUCUAUAAACUGAUAGACUAGAGUGUGGUAGAGGCAAGUGGAAUUUCUAGUGUAGCGGUAGAAUGCGUAGAUAUUAGAAGGAACACCAGUGGCGAAGGCGACUUGCUGGGCCAUCACUGACGGUCAGGGACGAAAGCGUGGGGAGCGAAUAGGAUUAGAUACCCUAGUAGUCCACGCCGUANACGAUGAGCACUAAGUGUCGGGCAACCGGUNCUA